GACAGAGGGUGCAAACGUUGUUCGGAAUUACUGGGCGUAAAGCGUGUGUAGGCGGCUACGUAAGUCGGAUGUGAAAGCCCCGGGCUCAACCCGGGAAGUGCACUCGAUACUGCGUAGCUCGAGUACUGGAGAGGUUGGUGGAAUUCUCGGUAUAGAGGUGAAAUUCGUAGAUAUCGAGAGGAACACCGGUGGCGAAGGCGGCCAACUGGACAGAUACUGACGCUGAUGCACGAAGGCCAGGGGAGCAAACGGG
rnacentral:rRNA from 1 species